UUGUCCUACGGGGGGCAGCAGUGAGGAAUAUUGGUCAAUGGGCGAGAGCCUGAACCAGCCAAGUCGCGUGAGGGAAGACGGUCCUAUAGAUUGUAAACCUCUUUUGCCGGGGAGCAAAAAGCGGUACGUGUACCGCAUCGAGAGUACCCGGAGAAAAAGCAUCGGCUAACUCCGUGCCAGCAGCCGCGGUAAUACGGAGGAUGCGAGCGUUAUCCGGAUUUAUUGGGUUUAAAGGGUGCGCAGGCGGCGAGUUAAGUCAGCGGUAAAAUUUCGGUGUUCAACCCAGACAA
rnacentral:rRNA from 1 species